UACGUAGGGGGCUAGCGUUGUCCGGAAUCAUUGGGCGUAAAGCGCGCGUAGGCGGCUUUUCAAGUCAGAGGUGAAAUCCUGAGGCUCAACCUCAGAAUUGCCUUUGAAACUGUAAAGCUUGAGUGUCGGAGGGGAUAGCGGAAUUCCUAAUGUAGAGGUGAAAUUCGUAGAUAUUAGGAGGAACACCGGUGGCGAAGGCGGCUAUCUGGACGACAACUGACGCUGAGGCGCGAAAGCGUGGGGAUCAAACAGG
rnacentral:rRNA from 1 species